rnacentral:piRNA from 1 species
UCAGGAAGAAGCAGACUCCCAGCCUGU